rnacentral:lncRNA from 1 species
CCUCUGGGGAACACUUUAUGAUUGCUGCUUAUCAAGGCAGCUACCAACAGAAGGGAAAGCCAUGGUUUAGGCUUCCAGCACAUAUUAACUUUAGGAAACGGCUUCUCCCAUCAAAGGGGACAAUAAUAUGUCCCUUACAGGGCUACUGCACAGUCAUUUCCUCUCAAUGCACUAUUUACAUUGUCAGGAACUAUGAUUAUGCCCCCAGCUGUUUCUGAUUCCUACUUGGAAAUAAAUCCAAGAUUGCUAUUAGCCCUUCCACCCCAACCUGUCUGCCCCCA